UGAACGCUAGCGGCAGGCUUAACACAUGCAAGCGAGGGGCGAGCGCGAGUAGCAAUACUUGGCGGCGACCGGCGCAAGGGUGCGUAACGCGUGAGCAACAUGCCCGUAUCAGGGGGAUAAUCCAGGGAAACUUGGUCUAAUACCCCAUAGUAAUUUUGUAAGGCAUCUUAUAAGAUUUAAAGCUUUGGUGGAUACGGAUUGGCUCGCGUGACAUUAGCUGGAUGGUAAGGUAACGGCUUACCAUGGCUAUGAUGUCUAGGGGUUCUGAGAGGAAGGUCCCCCACACUGGAACUGAGACACGGUCCAGACUCCUACGGGAGGCAGCAGUGAGGAAUAUUGGACAAUGGAUGGAAAUCUGAUCCAGCCAUGCCGCGUGAAAGGAAGAAGGUCCUAUGGAUUGUAAACUUCUUUUGUAUGGGAGCAAUAAGGCCUACGAGUAGGUUGAUGAGAGUACCAUACGAAUAAGCACCGGCUAACUCCGUGCCAGCAGCUGC
rnacentral:rRNA from 1 species